GGCCGUUCGGUUCACUCCCCCCAGGACCGAACGGCGGCGGCCCUCGCUCCUCCCCCUGGCGGGGGCCGCCUUUC
rfam:Saccharomonospora xinjiangensis XJ-54 genomic scaffold Sacxiscaffold_2, whole genome shotgun sequence.